rnacentral:lncRNA from 1 species
CACUCCAAGACUUCAACCAAGGAAACACAAGUUCCUUCUUACAACAAGAGAAUAACAAUUCUCUUCAAGUGUACAAAACACUAAGCACUCAAACAAGAUACUACUUAAUGAGUAGAUAUGAGUAAAAGAAUACGCUCAAGAUCGCAACAACAUUCGACAGGAGUUUGGCUCUCAAAAGCUUAUGAAAUGAAUAUAAAAUGACAAACAAUAAAGUAUGAAAGCUUUAGCAAUUGUAUAAUCAGUUGUUAUGUGUUGUUUUUUUAUCAAAAGACUGAAUUUAAGCAGUAUUUAUAGUUGAAAAACUUGGCAUUACCGUUGCCUAAUUG